rnacentral:rRNA from 1 species
UGGUAGUNCACGCCGUAAACGAUGAGUGCUAGGUGUUAGGCCCUUUCCGGGGCUUAGUGCCGGAGCUAACGCAAUAAGCACUCCGCCUGGGGAGUACGACCGCAAGGUUGAAACUCAAAGGAAUUGACGGGGGCCCGCACAAGCGGUGGAGCAUGUGGUUUAAUUCGAAGCAACGCGAAGAACCUUACCAGGUCUUGACAUCCCGAUGCUAUUCUUAGAGAUAGGAAGUUACUUCGGUACAUCGGAGACAGGUGGUGCAUGGUUGUCGUCAGCUCGUGUCGUGAGAUGUUGGGUUAAGUCCCGCAACGAGCGCAACCCUUAUUGUUAGUUGCCAUCAUUAAGUUGGGCACUCUAGCGAGACUGCCGGUAAUAAACCGGAGGAAGGUGGGGAUACGUCAAAUCAUCAUGCCCCUUAUGACCUGGGCUACACACGUGCUACAAUGGUCGGUACAACGAGUUGCGAGCCGGUGACGGCAAGCUAAUCUCUGAAAGCCGAUCUCAGUUCGGAUUGGAGGCUGCAACUCGCCUCCAUGAAGUCGGAAUCGCUAGUAAUCGCGGAUCAGCACGCCGCGGUGAAUACGUUCCCGGGCCUUGUACACACCGCCCGUCACACCACGAGAGUUUGUAACACCCGAAGUCGGUGAGGUAACCUUUUAGGGNCCA